CACGUAGGCGGACCAGAAAGUUGGAGGUGAAAUCCCAGGGCUCAACCUUGGAACUGCCUUCAAAACUAUUGGUCUGGAGUUCGAGAGAGGUGAGUGGAAUUCCGAGUGUAGAGGUGAAAUUCGUAGAUAUUCGGAGGAACACCAGUGGCGAAGGCGGCUCACUGGCUCGAUACUGACGCUGAGGUGCGAAAGCGUGGGGAGCAAACA
rnacentral:rRNA from 1 species